GGCCCUCCCCUCGCGCGCUCCCAGGGAGCUGUGGGAACGCGGGCUCGGCCCUGGGAAAUGCAGUUCGCUUUGCGCGUCUUCUGUAGAGACGACGGGAGAGGGAGAGAGAGAGAGAAAUAUCAAUGAUGAGAGAGAAUCAUCCAUCAACUGCCUCCUGCACGCCCCUGACUGGGGAUCGAGCCAGCAGUGCAGGCAUGUACCUUGACUAGGAAUUGAACCGUGACCUCCUAGUUCAUGGCUUGAUGCUCAACCACUGAGCCACACCAACCAGCUUCUUAUUACUAGAAAACAUCAGCUGAUCUUCAAAUGCUUACCAACAUCUAAAGGUUUCCCCCCUAUUUCCCCUUUCCUAGCUUCCUUUGAUGGCAGUCAUCUGAGAAGUGUCUCCAAAUGGGCAUCAAUCACACUGGCCCAACUAAAGUCAACUCUACCAAACGAGCCCCUAAUGGAAAAAAUGAAAUGAAUAAAACAUU